rnacentral:sRNA from 12 species
AUAUCCAUUAAUUUCAAAAAUUUUGAGAAGAUCAUAGAAUUGAC